CAGAAAAUAGUUUAUUUAAAAUAGUAGGUUUGGGGCUUAUUGAGGAGUUAUUUUUUUUCUGA
rnacentral:tRNA from 1 species